GCAUGGUUUCGGUUUGAAAGGCGCUUUUGCGUCACUGAUGGAUGGACCCGCGGUGCAUUAGCUAGUUGGUGAGGUAACGGCUCACCAAGGCAACGAUGCAUAGCCGACCUGAGAGGGUGAUCGGCCACAUUGGGACUGAGACACGGCCCAAACUCCUACGGGAGGCAGCAGUAGGGAAUCUUCGGCAAUGGACGGAAGUCUGACCGAGCAACGCCGCGUGAGUGAAGAAGGUUUUCGGAUCGUAAAACUCUGUUGUUAGAGAAGAACAAGGAUGAGAGUAGAAUGUUCAUCCCUUGACGGUAUCUAACCAGAAAGCCACGGCUAACUACGUGCCAGCAGCCGCGGUAAUACGUAGGUGGCAAGCGUUGUCCGGAUUUAUUGGGCGUAAAGCGAGCGCAGGCGGUUUCUUAAGUCUGAU
rnacentral:rRNA from 1 species